rnacentral:rRNA from 1 species
GACGAACCGUGCGAACGUUGUUCGGAAUCACUGGGCUUAAAGGGCGCGUAGGCGGGCCAUAAAGUCAGGGGUGAAAUCCUCCAGCUUAACUGGAGAACUGCCUUUGAUACUGAUGGUCUCGAGUAAGGUAGGGGCAUGCGGAACUGAUGGUGGAGCGGUGAAAUGUGUUGAUAUCAUCAGGAACCCCGGUGGCGAAGGCGGCAUGCUGGACCUUCACUGACGCUGAGGCGCGAAAGCUAGGGGAGCGAACGGG